GCCAGACAUCUAAGGGAUGGAGAGGAAGGGCAGGUUAACUGGCCCUGCCUCAUACACAGUGAGCUGGAUUCUGAGCCUUCCAGCAUCACUUUGUAGAUGAUUCUGCCUCCAUGUCAGAUAUCUUCCACCAUGUCAUCCAGCAAAGGCUGCAGAAUGUCUGCAGGGCUCUGAUUGCAGGAACAAGGGUCAUUACUACCAAGAAAUGCUGUCUGUUUACUGUGUUGCAACAGAGCUGCUCUGUAGCUAUCACAUACCUUUGCUGUCUAAGCUGUGAGGCACCUCAUUGCAGCCUAUAGAGCUGAAAAAUACAUUUUUUCUCCAGCUCCUGCUGGCGUUGAGUCUUAUGGAGGUGGCCAUUAAUAUGGAAGCCUAACAAAAGGAUGUUGUAGGUGCUGGAACUACCCGGGUAUUUAUUGGCAAAGACCCUGCAUGUCUGCCGCAUAUGUUAACCUCUGCCUGGGGCACAGCAAAGCCACUCUGAUUAGCACAUUUUCUUUCUGAGCUGUAGAUCCUGGUUCACAGCUAUAAAUCUUGACCUACAAAUCAAGGUCAUUUGGACUGAAUAUAUCAAGAGAAGUUGUCUCUGUUCAGGAGGACUAAACAUUGUUCAACAAGAACAGUUCAGACGUGCUUGGACAAGAAAAAGCUAUAAUGGAUCAGCAACGUUCAAUACCAAGAAAGAGAACUCCAAAAACAAUGAAAGAAAGGAAAGAAAUAACAUUAGGAGGAUGUCAGUUUGCACAAAAAGUAGUGAAAAAAAAAUGAACAUGAAAGCAAAGCUUAGCAAAGAAUUAAACCAUAAAAGAAGGCUGGGUGAGAUGCUAGUCCAGCUGGACAACAUUUACAUUCCAAGCAGCUUUCCCAUGAUUUACUCUGAACACAUGGUGAGGUCAUGACUAUCAAAUAACUCUACUCCAGAUUCACAUAUCUUUGUUCCUGAAAAGAAAUUUGAAAGACAAAAGAUUAAAAACCGGUCAUUUAAAGAAGAGUUUUAAUAUAUCACAGAAGUGCAUACCAUCUUCUAUCCAGGAGGAUUUUCAAAAUAUUUCUAUAGAGAAAUCAUUUUCUCCUUCAUUGACUUUGCAAAGAUAUUUGAUAUGUUGGGAUGAAACCGAAGAUGAAGUUCCCAUAACAUAUAGUUGAGUUUUCAUGUAAGCUCUGGUG
rnacentral:lncRNA from 1 species